GAUGAACGCUGGCGGCGUGCCUAAUACAUGCAAGUCGAGCGAACGGACGAGAAGCUUGCUUCUCUGAUGUUAGCGGCGGACGGGUGAGUAACACGUGGAUAACCUACCUAUAAGACUGGGAUAACUUCGGGAAACCGGAGCUAAUACCGGAUAAUAUUUUGAACCGCAUGGUUCAAAAGUGAAAGACGGUCUUGCUGUCACUUAUAGAUGGAUCCGCGCUGCAUUAGCUAGUUGGUAAGGUAACGGCUUACCAAGGCAACGAUGCAUAGCCGACCUGAGAGGGGGAUCGGCCACAGUGGAACGGAGACACGGUCCAGGCUACUAAGGGAGGGAGCAGUCGGGUAUGGUCCGCAAUGGGCGAAAGCAUGACGGAGCAACGCCGCGUGAGUGAUGAAGGUCUUCGGAUCGGAAAACUCUGUUAUUAGGGAAGAACAUAUGUGUAAGUAACUGUGCACAGCUUGACGGUACCUAAUCAGAAAGCCACGGCUAACUACGUG
rnacentral:rRNA from 1 species